rnacentral:rRNA from 1 species
UACGUAGGGGGCAAGCGUUGUCCGGAAUUAUUGGGCGUAAAGAGCUCGUAGGCGGUUUGUCGCGUCGAAUGUGAAAACCCGGGGCUCAACCCCGGGCCUGCAUUCGAUACGGGCAGACUAGAGUUCGGUAGGGGAGUCUGGAAUUCCUGGUGUAGCGGUGAAAUGCGCAGAUAUCAGGAGGAACACCGGUGGUGUAGACGGCUCUCUGGACCGUAACUGACGCUGAUGCGCGAAAGCUAGGGGAGCAAACAGG